CCUUGCUGUUGCUAUUCGAAUAAUUUCCGGCUUCUACGUUCAACCGCAGUUGCGUCGCCAGAGUUGCAGCAGCAGCAGCCAUUCUUUGGUGUGAUUUGUCUCUCUCAGGCAAUAUCCAUUCUAAAUAAAUGGUCAAGCCCGACCCACAUUUUAAGCCCAAAAAAGAAAACCUCUAUAAACCAUACCUGGAGUCGGCCAAACAAAGAAGGAGAAGACGAAGAAAGAUUUUGACGGCACUUACAAAUAAUUCAUUCCAGUAAUAAGGAAGGGUCACCAGCAAGACCAGUGAGAAGGCAAAUACAAAAUUGGACAGUAAAUUCAAUCUGAAAGAAAGCCAUUCCAUGGCUGACAUAUUAUGAAACCAAGGCCUUGAGUGGCUGUCUAUAAGGUCAAGGUUUGCUUCAAUAAAACGAUCUUCUUGAUUAAAAGCACGAAUUGUUGCAGCACCUGCUAAUGAUUCUGCAAAGUGGUGAAGAAUUGGAGCUCUCUGUAUUCCUGCUAAGCGAGCCAGUUCUCUUGCUGUUGGGAUGUAAUAUCGCUGAAGUAAUCAUGUUAAUUUUUACAUCAGUUUCCAGAAUGAGCAAAAACUCUGAAGGCCAUAUGAUCAUUAGC